CGUUGGGCUGUUCACACCUUAUCCAAUGAUAUACUUACACGUUGCAAAAUAAAUACACAAGUAGUUGUAACGAUUGUACCUUUAAACUUCUCUUCCUGCAGAGGGUAGGAAACUUACCUAAGAAGGCGCGAGCGACUCUCUUUAUUGGCUACUUUUUCAUUCCCUACAACUCCUUUCCUGAUAGUACUUCACUGCACUCUCUCCCUCACCCCCCGCCUCUCUCUCUCCUAUAUAUUGAGUUCAAUGGACGUUGAAAUCGGAGAAUUGGCUUCACUAGAUUCUGUUUCGAAGAAGCUUAAACAGAGUGAGGUAUUUCUCUAAUCCCACGCCACCCACCGUCAAGCAAUUGAAUUUUCGUUUUUUGAAAGUUUUGAUUUGUGGGUUUUUCAUAUCUGGACGGAAUUUUGAUUUUGACAUCUUGUGAUCGAUAGCUUUCUUGGUGGUUUGGAUGCUUUUAAGGUCUGAUUGUGAGUGUCGGAUUUUAAUUGUGUGAUUGUAGAUAUUUGUUUAUUUUUUGCGUAGUAACGUAAUUGAGUUUCUGGGUUUUGUGUCAAUGAUAGAAAAUUGAAAAAUUAGUGAAUUGGACAAAUAAUUGAUCAAAAUAAGAUGGCUCUAAUCAUUAAAGAAAACACACUUGGAGAAAAUAUUGUAUCGGGUUAAUUCGUUCGUAUGUAUUUGCUGAGAAAAAAAUAUGUAUGUAUAUGUAUACAGAAGGGAGUUCCUAAAUGCAACUACAAGGCUAAUAAUUGUGGUUACUGUUGAUCUUUAUGUAACUACGUAACUUAC
rnacentral:lncRNA from 1 species